UACGGGGGGGGCAAGCGUUGUUCGGAAUUACUGGGCGUAAAGGGCUCGUAGGCGGCCAACUAAGUCAGACGUGAAAUCCCUCGGCUUAACCGGGGAACUGCGUCUGAUACUGGAUGGCUUGAGGUUGGGAGAGGGAUGCGGAAUUCCAGGUGUAGCGGUGAAAUGCGUAGAUAUCAGGAGGAACACCUGUGGCGAAAGCGGCGCACUGGACCACAGCUGACGCUGAGGCGCGAAAGCUAGGGGAGCAAACAGG
rnacentral:rRNA from 1 species